rnacentral:lncRNA from 1 species
AGAAUACAGAGAGUCUCUAUAUAUUGAAGUAGUAUAAUCGUAGUUUACAUGUAGAUAAACGCGAAAAAUAACUGUCCUCUAUAAGGAGGUAUAAUAGUUGUGGUUCUUGCGAUCUAAACACCAUGAUAUGGAGAACGCUCUGAUUGGCUUAUUUAUUUUUCAUUUUUGUUAUCUAUCAUACGAUUGGUUGUAUUUGUGCAUGUUUCAAACCGGAAGUCUUAUCUAUGACUAAAAUUCAGUCUGAUGACGGAAUCAUAUCCGGACUCCUUUUUGUCGUUUUUCUCCCAAAAUAACUCAAUCUGAAUAAUCAUAAGAAUGGAUGACAAAUGCGACUAUGCAUGUUGCCUAUAGGACACAGAGGC